UACGGAGGGUGCGAGCGUUGUCCGGAAUCACUGGGCGUAAAGGGCGCGUAGGCGGCUUGGUAAGUCCGUUGUGAAAUCCCUCGGCUCAACCGAGGAACUGCGACGGAUACUGCUUGGCUUGAGUCCCGGAGAGGGUAGCGGAAUUCCCAGUGUAGCGGUGAAAUGCGUAGAUAUUGGGAGGAACAUCGGUGGCGAAGGCGGCUACCUGGACGGGUACUGACGCUGAUGCGCGAAAGCUAGGGGAGCAAACAGG
rnacentral:rRNA from 1 species